AUUGAACGCUGGCGGCAGGCCUAACACAUGCAAGUCGAGCGGAGCGGCGGACGGGUGAGUAAUGCCUUGGAAUCUGCCUGGUAGUGGGGGAUAAAGUCCGGAAACUGGCGCUAAUACCGCAUACUAUCAGAUGAGCCUAGGUCGGAUUGGCUAUUUGGUGGGGUAAAGGCCUACCAAGGCUACGAUCCGUACAUGGUCUGAAAGGAUGAUCAGUCAAACUUGGACUGAGACAGGGUCCAGAUUCCUACGGGAGUCAGGAGUUGGGAAUAUUGGACAAUGGGCGAAAGCCUAGUCCAGCCAUGCCGAGUGUGUGAAGAAGGUCUGCGGAUUGUAAAGCUCUUUAAGUUGGGAGGCGUUACCAACAGAAUAAGCACCGGCUAACUUCGUGCCAGCAGCCGCGGUAAUAC
rnacentral:rRNA from 1 species